CAGUCGCCGCGGUAAAACGUAGGGUGCAAGCGUUAAUCGGAAUUACUGGGCGUAAAGCGUGCGCAGGCGGUUAUAUAAGUCAGAUGUGAAAUCCCCGGGCUCAACCUGGGAACUGCAUUUGAGACUGUAUGGCUAGAGUGUGUCAGAGGGGGGUAGAAUUCCACGUGUAGCAGUGAAAUGCGCAGAUAUGUGGAGGAAUACCGAUGGCGAAGGCAGCCCCCUGGGAUAACACUGACGCUCAUGCACGAAAGCGUGGGGAGCAAACAGGAUUAGAUACCCGCGUAGUCCCUGUCUCUUAUAA
rnacentral:rRNA from 1 species